UUGAUGUAUUUCUGUUAGAGAAUUGCUUCACACUCAGCAUAUUGCAGCAGAUUGAUCUUCAUCAAGAUCAUGACGUGAUGUCCAGUAUCUGGAGAUCUAAACUGCGCUGGCCUCUCCUCUGAGUUUGGGGCUGGAUGAAUCUGCACCGCUGGUUGGCACCGACCUUGGACGUGGGCUAACCCUUAGCCAUCACCAAGCACGGCUGUCGCACAGAACUUCAACAUGUCUUCUGGUUCACUCGGGCUUUUUGAGGAGCAGCAGGACAGAGGACCUUCUCUAGCUGUCCUUGGCUGGACUUCAGCUGAAAGUGCUGAGCACUUUCCACCACUGGUGCAACGUUCAGCAGCUCACCGUGGUGAAAUUUCUUCAGUGAGAACAUGAAAGAUGGAUGCUUGCAGAUGGCAUGUGUGAAGAGCAUGCUUUCUGUACAUGUGGCAAGCUAAAGUCAA